rnacentral:rRNA from 1 species
UAGAGUUUGAUCCUGGCUCAGGACGAACGCUGGCGGCGUGCCUAAAACAUGCAAGUCGAACGAGAUCUUCGGAUCUAGUGGCGAACGGCGGAGUAAGACAUGAGCAACGUGCCCCUAUGACUGGGAUAUACAGAGGAAACUCUGGGUAAUACCGGAUGUGGCUAUUCCUUGGCAUCUUGGAAUAACUAAACGGAUUUAUUCGCAUAGGGAGCGGCUCAUGACCCAUCAGGUAGUUGGUAGGGUAAUGGCCUACCAAGCCGACGACGGGUAGCGGGUCUGAGAGGAUGAUCCGCCCGAGUGGGACUGAGACACGGCCCACACACCUACGGGUGGCAGCAGUUGGGAAUAUUGCACAAUGGGGGAAACCCUGAUGCAGCGACGCCGCGUGGACGAUGAAGGGUUUAGGCCUGUAAAGUCCUUUUGCUAGGAAAGACUUAGGACGGUACCUAGCGAAUAAGCU